AUUGAACGCUGGCGGCAGGCCUAACACAUGCAAGUCGAGCGGAUGAAGGGAGCUUGCUCCUGGAUUCAGCGGCGGACGGGUGAGUAAUGCCUAGGAAUCUGCCUGGUAGUGGGGGAUAACGUCCGGAAACGGGCGCUAAUACCGCAUACGUCCUGAGGGAGAAAGUGGGGGAUCUUCGGACCUCACGCUAUCAGAUGAGCCUAGGUCGGAUUAGCUAGUUGGUGGGGUAAAGGCCUACCAAGGCGACGAUCCGUAACUGGUCUGAGAGGAUGAUCAGUCACACUGGAACUGAGACACGGUCCAGACUCCUACGGGAGGCAGCAGUGGGGAAUAUUGGACAAAGGGCGAAAGCCUGAUCCAGCCAUGCCGCGUGUGUGAAGAAGGUCUUCGGAUUGUAAAGCACUUUAAGUUGGGAGGAAGGGCAGUAAGUUAAUACCUUGCUGUUUUGACGUUACCAACAGAGUAAGCACCGGCUAACUUCGUA
rnacentral:rRNA from 1 species